UACGUAGGGGGCAAGCGUUAUCCGGAUUUACUGGGUGUAAAGGGAGCGUAGACGGAAAGGCAAGUCAGAAGUGAAAGCCCAAGGCUCAACCAUGGGACUGCUUUUGAAACUGUCAAACUAGAGUACGGGAGAGGUAAGAGGAAUUCCUAGUGUAGCGGUGAAAUGCGUAGAUAUUAGGAGGAACACCAGUGGCGAAGGCGUCUUACUGGACUGUAACUGACGUUGAGGCUCGAAAGCGUGGGGAGCAAACAGG
rnacentral:rRNA from 1 species